UAGUGAUGCAAUGAUUUCCACUCAUCAUUAGGUUUAUAAAACAUGAUCAUCUCAUGUUUCCAAACCUUGAAGAGGGGAUCCAUCUUUUCACCACCUCAGUUACCUUUGUUGAAGUUCAGGUUGAACAAGAUCCCUCAAAAACAAAUCCCAGCUGCAGCUUGAACAAACUGUUGCUCCCAGUGUGGAGGAAGAGAAAGUCCAGAUCUAAGAGGAGACGCAGAGAUUCAGGGAGGAGCUGAGCUGCUACUGAACUAUAGAAGAGAGAGGAGCUUCCAUAUUCAGACCAGUUCAAUCUACAAAGCACCAACAUCACCUGGAUUCAACAUGCUCUCACUGCAUCAGGCUCUAUCUUCUCUACUGCUUCUCUCCACUCUAACAGCAAUCAGCUGUGAAGAACUCACACCGGUCCACAAUGAAGAGUUCAGUGCAGAAGGCAGCUCUGUUACUCUGUCCUAUAACUCCUCCAAAGUGAACCCAGGGGAUUAUUUCUUCUGGUAUCGACAGAAUCCAGGACAAGCUCCAGAGUUCCUCCUCUCACACUCUGCUUCAGGACAAAUACUAGCGGCUCCAACCUCUGGACUGAAGAUCCAAGUGGAGCAGAACCAAAUCCACAUGAUCAUCUCCUCUGCUGCAGUGACAGACUCUGCUGUGUACUACUGUGCUGUGAGGCCCACAGUGACAGGAAACUACACAACUCUGUACAAAAACUCCAGCUGCCAGAAGCCUCCUCUCCUCACUGCUCACCUCAGCUUCUUCCCUCCACUAGAGGGCGAUAUAAGUCAGUAGGUGUGCGUGAUAACUGCUGUGAGGAGACCACGUGUCAGACUGAAGGUUGAACCUCAGCGAGUUCCUCCUGUGGAGUUAAACCUUGUUGUGGAGAUGGAUCAUCGGCUCUGGAUGAUUCUUGCUGCUCUGGUCUUUAGUAAGAAAGAAAACACAACAUGAUUCCUCGUGAAGCAGUUGAACAUGUUACUGAUCUGGUGUCAGUCAGAAAUCCUCUUUCUUGAUUUG